CCCUUAGAUGUUCUGGGCUGCACGCGCGCUACACUGACACACCCAGCGAGUCUCCUGCCCUGACAGGGUUGGGUAAUCAUUGGAGUGUGUGUCGUGAUGGGGAUAGAGUAUUGCAAUUAUUGCUCUCGAACGAGGAAUUCCUAGUAAGCACAAGUCAGCAGCUUGUGCUGAUUACGUCCCUGCCCUUUGUACACACCGCCCGUCGCUCCUACCGAGGGGGUGAUCCGGUGAAUGAUUCGGACUUUGGCGUUUCUAGCUGCUAGCAGCGCUGAAGAAAGUUUUGUGAACCAUAUCACUUGGAGGAAGGAGAAGUCGUAACA
rnacentral:rRNA from 1 species